rnacentral:rRNA from 1 species
UACGGAGGAUGCGAGCGUUAUCCGGAUUUAUUGGGUUUAAAGGGUGCGCAGGCGGGGGAUUAAGUCGGCGGUGAAAUUUUGCAGCUCAACUGUAAAAGUGCCUUCGAAACUGGUUUCCUUGAGUGUAGAUGAAGUAGGCGGAAUUUGUGGUGUAGCGGUGAAAUGCAUAGAUAUCACGAGGAACUCCGAUUGCGCAGGCAGCUUACUAAACUACUACUGACGCUCAGGCACGAAGGCGUGGGGAUCAAACAGGAUUAGAUACCCGUGUAGU